AGCGGCGGACGGGUGGGUAACGCGUGGGUAACCUAGCCUCAUACAGGGGGAUAACAGUUGGAAACGGCUGCUAAUACCGCAUAAGCGCACAGUACCGCAUGGUACCGUGUGAAAAACUCCGGUGGUAUGAGAUGGACCCGCGUCUGAUUAGCUAGUUGGUGGGGUAACGGCCUACCAAGGCGACGAUCAGUAGCCGACCUGAGAGGGUGACCGGCCACAUUGGGACUGAGACACGGCCCAA
rnacentral:rRNA from 1 species